GUCAGGGCGGGGUAUGGCCACCGUCCCCGGCCCCGGUCUCUGUCUGUGGGGCUCCGGGACCGUCGCCGCCACUCCGCCCGCCCUCCCCCGAGGCGCUCCCGCUGGGGCAGGGCCCACUGGGGGAUGAGCAGCCUCCGGUGUCCCCUCGGCAGCCCGCCGCCACGCUCCGAGGGGGGUCUGGCGGCAGCCGUGCGGACCCGGCUGAGGUGCUAGAGGGCGAUGGACUCGUAGGGGUCUUGGUUCUGGAAAAUAACCGCUAAAUGACAUCCAACCCCACCCCCUUCCCCUCAACGUGAUCGAAUGUGCAGCGAAAAGAAACAAACUUCGUUUUGUUCGAAACGUUUGUUUUUUAGCAUGUGUUGGAGGCAGCAUCUGUCCUGUGUGGCUGGCUGAUCUCCGCACCUCAGUAACUUCCACCCUCGUGGUUUUCUGGUACUGAGGCUUGGAAAGACAAAGUGCAUCGCAUGAGGAUAUGUUACAAAGCCCUGAGCUUGAAGAUGGAAAGUGAAGAUGGUCCAUAUCAAACCAACUGGGAGUCCAGAGAAAGCCGCUGCUUCCCCCCAGUCAGCGCCAGCUGGACUUGUCUGUCUUCUGGGUGCCAGGACCUGUGAGUUACACAAUCCAAAUGUUCCCAAGUUAUGAGUAUCGACAGGGCCAAUUACAACCCACAGCUGCUACAGGUGCUUAGCACCUCUGAGCAGAACAAUUACUUGGGUAUUUUCCACUCAUAAAGCAGUGAGAUUUACAGUCAGGGAUUCUCAGUGUGGGAGGUCCCUUUCCUUGUAUUUUAUCAGUUCCUGCAGCACAGCCACAGAAUCCUUUCUCAUAAAUUAGCUAUGGUCAAAUUCAGCAGUAUUUUUUCAGCAGCCAUGUAAACAAUAUAAUAAAUCAAAGAUCUCUUAAAAAAUAAUGAUGUACAUGGUUGAGUUUUCAUUAAUUGGAAGUAACCCUUCUAUGGUGUGGUUUUAGACCAAAAAUGAAAAGUAAGCCUAUCAAAAUUUAUAUAAAUGGUCCAAAAAGAGGCAGUGUUAGUGAUAGAAGUUUUUUAUCGGUAGUAUGUGUUUAGGAGAGUAUCAUUUGUGCUGCAGAAGUGGCAUUUUAUUUCUCUAGUAUAUUGCAAUGGAAGAAUAAAAGGUUACAGAAAAGUAGAAAACCACAUUUUAAUGGCUAAAACAAUAUUAAAUGUGGAUACAAUUGGGGAAAAUGGAAGGAAGUUGGCAGAUAAAAGAUCAAAUGGCUAGAGGGAACAUUAGCUGAAGUUGACUUUGGCAUGUGUAACCUAUGGUGGUCAUUUUUCUGUGGCCAGUAGCUUGAUCAAAGAAAAGAAUAAAAGGACCUUCCUCAUUUUGGCAUAGCAUGCCUGUUUUGCUAUGUUCUCUCCCAGUUUUUUCACCCUGGUCUCUUUUCCUCACCUCACAUACAUACAAUAUCUGCAAAUCUCUGAAAAAGCCUAACUGGAUUGAAAAGUGCUUUUUACUCAUACCCUUGACAGUAAGUCUAUCAUAUAACAUCCAUCAGGGUGGAAUAGCUUAUAUGAAUUUAAAGGCGUUUGAUGAAUCAGGUUACAUUCGCUAGCAAAUCAAUUCGCUUUGAGACUGCAUAGAACCCCUGAAUUUAGAGCUGUAUAGGCCCUCUCCCCUGUAUAGGCAAAGGAAGAGAAGUGGCAGACACCAAAAAAAGUGCACCAAUCAAGGCUACAGGUCUGCCUUAUGGCUGCUGCCAAGGCAUGAAGCAGACAGCUGGGUAUCUCUGUCCUCUGCAAGCCCGCGAUGCAGAGAUUAUCUACAAGUGGAAGAGUGACACAAUGUAGCCUAUCAGUACAGCACAGUAUUCCAGAUUUUGCAAUCUUUAAUUUAUUUAAUGUAUUGAUUUAAUUUAUUAGUAGCAAAGUGCCAUUAUCUGUAUUUUUCCAAGCUGGGAGCCAUAUCCAAAAAGAAAAAAGAAAAGAAAAAAAAACAACAAUGAAAAAACAGCUCAUGAAGCUGUGGACUGAGAGUGGAAAAAGAGAAGGAGACAUACAGAAUCUUCAUAAGUGAUCUGUGGUUUCAAGACAUACUUCUCUAGAGAGAAUGCUAACUUUGGUUUCAGUUAUUUAGAAGAGGUUUAUUACUGAUGAAAAGGAAUGUUAGUGGCAUUUUGAAAUGCUUUAUUUAUGGCAGUUAUCUACUUUGCAGAAGUAACAGCCUGUAAGAUUUUGACUUUCAUUGUAUUGUACAAUGUUCCCCAAGCAGGACCCAUUAACUUUAAUUUCUCAGAAUAAUACCAUGUGGCCUACUCUGUAGUAACACACUGUGUACUUAAGGCACACCAGCAAAUAAAUAAGAGGUCCUCCACAGCUAUUAUAAAAACUUUUCCACCCAUAGAAAUUCCCAAGAUAAAUUAUUUUUCUGACCGUAAGAGCAGAGAGGUUCUGAAACAUCUUUAUAAUUACAUUUAAUUAUGGAACUAUAAAAAAGAAAUUGAAAGAGAUCUCAAAAAGGUUAUCUAGUCCUAACUAUGCUGAGUUCAUUUCUGAAAAUAUAUUUGUUUAUCUUCUCCUUAACAAUUUUUAAUGAUGAGGUCUCCAUGACCUCUCUAGGAAAUUCCUGUGCUUCACUUACCAUCAGGAAGUACUUUUUCUCCACAAUAAGUGACCUGAAUACUACUUGCUGCAAUUCAAAUCAGUUAGUUCUCAUCCUGUCUAUUGUGAAUACGAUAAUUAAUCCUAAGUCUUUCAGCCCAUUCUCAGAGGUAUUAUUUCUUGUUGCUCUCCAACAAACUCUUUCCACAAUAGCCUACACCCUUCUUGAAAUGCAAAGCUCAAAAUUGGAAAGAGAAUACCAGCUGAAGCAUUACCAGAGGAGAACAUAACUGCAUGAUCUUACCAUACGUCUCAUACCUGUUUAUUCAUCUCUGCAUCAUGUUUGUUCUGUCUCUUCAGUGUGAGACUGUUGGUUUCUGCUGCUCCACUAUAAUCCCUAGGUCUUUUUCUGAAAAUCUACUUCCUAGCUUGCUGUUGUUCACUGUGGAUUUGUGACACUGUUUACUCUUCAUCAGUGUGAUCUCCUGGGCUUGUUCAUCUUUUUUUUUUUUUUUUUAACAUCUAUUUGUACUAGUGCCAUACUUCCUCAUUUCAUUUUUUUAUGCCUCUAAGAAGCAUACUCUUAGCUUCUUCACCAAUGCCGUCACCAAAACACUAAACAGACACAGUUCCUGAACAGAUUGUUGCAGUCCUAUCUUAUACACCAUUCCAUUUUCACACUGAAACAAUGAUAACAAUCCUUCAGAGUGAGGUUUAUUCACCUGUUUGUAUGCCAUUUUUUAAUUUUUGUCAGUUUUAGCUAUAUCGUAUUGGAAUGUUACGGGAAACAGGAUUUAAAUUCUGUACAAACCCUGAGGUAUGGCCUCUGCUGUUACUCUCCAGUCUGCAGACUUUCCUUCUCAGUCAUAGUAACACAACAGUCCGACAGGUUUUAUUCCUAUUAAAUCUGUAUCAUCUAUGUCUAGUUCCUGUUAUUAAGUUACCUGUUCCAGUUACAUAUUCCAGUUUAUGGGGUUUUUAUUUGUUUGUUUUUCAGAAUAUUUCAGAAUAUUCUUUGGAGCUGCAGUUAAGCUGAUUAGUUAGACUAAAACGUUUUGAUUCUUUUUCUCCUUUUUUAAAGUAAAGAUCGUCCAGCUUUCUGGUAUCUCAAACAUUGCCAAAGAAUUUAAAAAAAUGCCAAAGAAUUUAAAGAAAACCUCACAAUCACAGUAGUCACAUUAGAGAAAUGAGCAGAGGAAUAAAUGUAGCCUUGGUGAACCCGAGUAAAAAACAGAGGAUCAAAAAAAAGGCUAUGGUUAAAAUUCUGUCUGGUUGUACACAAGGUGCUAACAACUUCUGGUAACACUCCAUGCGCUGUAUAACCUUCUAUACACAUAGCUAUAUUUAUCAUACACAUACAGUGUUAAAUACCUUAAUCUGUCUGAAACUCUUUUCAACAAGAGGACUUUGUGAACCUUGUCUUUGCUGAAAUGUUAUGAGAAUGGGGAACAAAUACAUGAGCCUCAGACACUCAGGAAUUUUCCCUCUCUGGAAUUGUGCUGACCCUCUCAAGAGGCGACCUGCAUAUUUUCACUCCCAGAAUCUAAGUAAUAAUUUCACAUUUAAAGUCUAAUUAGAAAUCAUUUCUAAUGAGAGAUCUAAAUGUUACCAAUUAGGAAAAAAAUGACAUUGCCUACUUUUAAGGAGAGUGAUAAAUAAUACUAGGAAUUAUAGUUCCCCUGUUUGGAGAUGGCUCUAUAAGGAACUAAGAUGACUGAGAACAUGAAUAAUGCACUGGGAAUCUCUUUGUCACAUCAGAUAGUAUGCUGUAUUGCUGUCAAAUUUACUAUAUUAUUAAUUUACCAAUUAGGAAAAGUUACUUUGUAACAUUUUCAGUAUAUUAGAAUCAAAAUGCUAAAACCUGUAUCUGAUAAUAGUAUUUUUUCUUUUACUGAAGAGGAAGAGACAGUGGCUCUCUUCUUUACAAGUGGCUGGAAAAAAAAGCACUUCUGAAUUCAGAAAACAUUAUUCCCAUUCUAAGCUUGCUGCUUGCCAUUGCCAUCUUCACAGGUGACUUUUAGGUAUUUUGCACUCUUUCUCCUUUACCCAAUGAAGUUUAAAGUGGCAGGCAUGUCUUUUAUUAACGUGUCUACUUUGUCAUCUUGACCUUUUCAAAGUCGGUUUCUAAACUGAAAACGUAGACACUAUUGUAUUAGGGCCUUGUAGGAUGAUUUUCAUUGUUUGAACACUGAUACAUAGGCUAUUGUUUUGGUUUGUUUUUUUUUUUUUUUUUUGCGUGGUUUGAGUUUAAGUUUCCAAGUAUUUUUGAAAAGUGAUUAAGCUGACUCGUUAUGGAUGCCAGGAAGCUCGAUAGAUAGCCAUUAGUUUACCAUGAGGAUGUUAGAACUUGUAGCUCUUCUUUUACUAUGUUCCUUGUGAUGUACAGUGUCCUUCCCAUCCAGUCCAGAUUGGGGUUGGGGAAAUGUAGGUUACUCAACUGCUCAGUUGCGAAUGGAGAAAUACAUGCAGUCAACUUAUCUUGAUAUUUUGAAUUCAGAUUUAAUAUCUCACUUUUUUUCUCUUAGAAUGUCAACCUAAAGAAGAAAAAGGACAGAGAGACAUUUGAAACAUUACUGGAGAAGGCCUUAGGCAAUCUAACCUCAGUUGGUGUAUAGGAACUGUUGAAUCAUGGCCUGAACCACUGACUGAUAACCUGAGGCAAGCACUGAGUCAGCCACAGGAAUACAGGUGAAGGUAAUUCAGCUGUGUGACCGGAAGUGGUGGAGCCUGGCUGCACUUCUUCUAGACCCCGUUUAAGGGCUGACUGCCCUUAGGAAAGGCUUUCCUUCUGGAGGUUGCUUCUUUUGGAGUUUUUCCAGUGAGCCUAUGACAUGGGUGGCAGCAGAGGGGCAGUCUAACAAUGCUUUCUGACAUAGAAGUGCGUAUGAAGCAAAGGUGUGGAACUGAAUACCUCUAUGCAGAAAAAGUAGCACCCAUUGACAUUCAUCAGUGUUUGCUGAAUGUUUAUGGACACCAACCAGUGGAUGUGAGCACAGCGAGGUGGUGGGUACUGCGUUUCAGCAGGGGACAAAAAAGACAGCAAGUCACCUCCACUGUUGCAGAUUUUUUUACAAUUGCAGCAUGCAGGCUCUUGCUCAUUGCUGGUGAAAAUGAGUAGCCAAUAAUGGUGACUGUGUUGAAAAAGACUGUUUUGUAGCUGAGGAUUAGCUCUAUCAAAUAGUGUUGUUGUGCUCUUUGCAUCUGUUGUAGUUGGAAAAUAAAUAUAAUUUAUUUUAUUAAUUAUAUUAAAUAUAAUUAAUUCCAUGGAAAAUGGAAAUAAAUGUAGGCUCCAGUUUUGAAGCAACCUACAUGAUUGUGAAGUAGGGUGUGGAUAGUAGAUUUUAGAGUUAUCUUCUGUGAUUGCUAUGAUGAUUCAAAUUCAGCCAGUGUGUCUAUGGUUUCCUAAUGAUAUCUUUAGAAAGUCAUCACCUGAUCAUGAAGGCAUACUUAUGUUUGGUAGUGACUGCUUAUGACAUUUAUUGUAUGAUUAUUAAUGAAAAAAAAAAACGUCUGAAAUUUUCAAGGUUUCAUUUUCUCAGAAAUGAGUGAAUAUGUACCUUUAUUAUACAAUUUUUCUUCCUUCCUAGAAAAAGGAUUAGAACAAAGCAACUGUACUUAUUCAAGUGGCAAGAUUUAAGAUAUGAAUGAGGGGGCAACUCUGGAGAGGGUAUCUAAAAUCAUUUUUGUUUUAUUAAGGAGAGGAGGUUUAGGUUGAA